rnacentral:rRNA from 1 species
UACGGAGGGUGCGAGCGUUAAUCGGAAUUACUGGGCGUAAAGCGCGCGUAGGCGGUUUGUUAAGUCAGCUGUGAAAGCCCCGGGCUCAACCUGGGAACUGCAGUUGAUACUGGCCGACUGGAGUGCGAGAGAGGGAGGUAGAAUUCCAUGUGUAGCGGUGAAAUGCGUAGAUAUAUGGAGGAAUACCGGUGGCGAAGGCGGCCUCCUGGCUCGACACUGACGCUGAGGUGCGAAAGCCAGGGGAGCGAACGGG